UGUGAAUUUCCUAUUACAUCAGUUUCAUGAUUCAGCAUUUUCCAUUUCAUUUAUUUACAGUAAUAUAUGGCGAGAUAACCCAAGGCUUCUGCAGGAUUUUGGAACGUAAGGUAGGCUGGGCAGGAAGGGUGUCGCCUUCUGUAAAUUUACUAUUGUUUAGGAGAACUCAGAACAUAAGCAAGCAAGCCAUCAAAGAAAUUGAGCAAAUUUCCCCCCACCUUGUUCUGAGGGUCUCCACUACUCUGGUAUUUAAAAUAAAUUGGUUUUGAAAAAUAGGUUACUGCCCUUUAGUCGGUGACUAAAACAGAAGCCAAGAAGUGUGCAAAUUGCGAACUGCCAUGCAUGAGCCAAACAUACUCUCUGAUAUGACAAUGGGUUUAAGGCGCAGCUAAAGUCACCACUCUGGCGGUAAGCCUGUUACAGAGAACUAGAUUUCUUUCCGGCAUCCGCAACUUGGCUGGAGUGACCAAGGAGGAGUUGAAGAGCGCUGGAGAUGCGAGAGCACCAGCCCCAUCAUCAGUGAGCGGCUCUGAGGACACCGACCAGCACAGGCUGACUCUACUGAUUGUCUGUAACAUGAUUGUCCCUUUUAAUCAAAGUGAUGUCAUCCUCUGAUUUCAGAAAGUGAAGGAUAGCGAAAUUAA